AUCACAAAGACAUAAUAGUUAUUAGGGUGCAUGGGAUUAUUGAAAAUUGGAGGAAAUCAUAAUAAAUGGGGCUCUGGAUAAUUGAGUUCACAUUUUCAACUGAUUGCUUCUGUCACUUAAUUUCUAUAUUUUGAAUUAAUGAAAUAGUAGCAGAAACCAUUCUUCAGAACAUAAGGCAAGUUGGGGAUAAGUUUAUUGCAUGUGCAGGUGUGAGAUAUGUUUUUACAUUUAAUUUUAAAUUGCUAAAAUGGUUUUGCGUUUGAAAACCCUUACUUUCUUCAUAUCUUGGAGGCUUAAGUCAUAGUUUCAGCAUGUUUAGGUGGAGAUAAAUAUUCACUCUUCCCAACUGAUGGUGUUCUGUGAUGCAAACAUUUACAAGAGAGCCUGUCUCCUAGGGAAUAACUUGUCACUCGGCUGCGUGGGAGCUGUGGUUUGGUACUUAGAGGUGUAUUCUCCUUGUUCAGAUUGGCUGUCAGGUGUUUAGGGUUCCCAUGGAUGUUGUAUUUCAAGAGUUUUGCUCUGCUCAGUGUAGUUCUCAUAGGAAACACAAAGACUUAAGUACAAGUACUCAACACUCUUUGUUUUUCUUUUGCAGAUUCUAGACUUCCUCUGCUUUGUUGAACUGUGUUGAUUGAAUGCUAGUUAGUCCUCUUCUCUGCUUCCUUUCUAGUAAGCACUUGUCUUAGAAGCAGAAGCAUUUGUUUUUCAGUCUAGCAUAAAAAACGAGGUGAAUACUGGGUGCUUCAGUCGUCUUCUGUGUGGCCUGAAUAGCCAGUCCUGGCACAAAUUAUAGUCUGCAGCAUCUAUUUUUCACUACCUGCAUUUGACUUCAUAUCAUUUUAACAGAAUGAAGAACCAAUUUGUGUGUGUGUGUGUGUGUGUGUGUGUGUGUGUUAGUUCAAUGAACCACUUUUCCAUGGCAAUGAGUUCUGUAAUUUCACCUCUCAAUUUCCGUAGGCCUCUCAGUUCAGUCUCUUCCAUGGACCACAAUUAACUGCCCGCAAAAAUAUUUUAUUAGCCCACCAUUUCUAUAUAUGUUUAUUGUAAUUUAUGGCAUGAUGACAGACUGAAAUGGGGGUGGGUGGCGAGGGAUGGAGAGGGAUACAAUCUGAGAUUGUUUCUUCAUCCUGGAACUGGAAAAGAGGAUUGCAACUAGGCACAAAGUUAGAAUUGGUGUAGACAUUUAAUUGGCUUCUGAAUGGAAUGUUCUCGUAAGUGCAUGAAAGUUCACUUACAUUUCAUCUCAUCCUCCCUUCUUUAUAUGAGUUCAUAUUUAUUUGGAAAUUGUGCAAUGAGUAUUAGCAUGUUGCAAUCUUCUUCUUUUUCUGGUUGUGCAAAUUCUUUUAACUUAGCCCUUUGAAGACCAGUGAGAAAAAGAUGCUGUGGCUGAAAGAUCUGAUGCCACAAACGAACACUUAGUUCUUUAUCAUGUUCUUCCCCUAGUUCCGCAUAAUGACAUUGUGAAAUAAGCGUUGCCAGGAAAUCCUAGCCAAGUUGGCAGAUGCAUUGGAACGCCUGUAACAACAUGGACAUAGCAAGUGCAUUCCAUGGCCUCUCCCUUUUUGUGUUCUCCCUUUCCUCUUGCCAGCUCUGCACUGCCUCUCCCCCAUCAAAGACUGAUACAUUUCCCUGUGAUGUUUUCUUGCUUCUCUGAAUUUCAACAUGCAGAUUGAUAACUACUGUUCUCUGUUUCCAGCUGUUUUUGGCUCAAGCCAGCAGUGCCAUCCUUCUGUAAUUAAAUAAAGCAUUCAUAGAACGGUGCUAAUUUUCAGCACUGGGUCUUCCAUUCACUCAGAAUUAUGUGUUGUUUUCUCUAGUCCACCAUUCUUUUUCUCAUGAUGUCAAACCAGAUACUUCAGGAUAGCACAGGAUAAAGAUAGCAAACAAAGGAUAAAGCUAAUAGUCUUCCCCUGGUGCCCCCCGCUCCCCAGUAACUAGUAUUCAAAGGCAUAAGGUCUCUAAACCUGGAGAUUCCAUUGAGACUGUGGCCAAUAGCCAUUUAUAUACCUCCAAACACUUGUACAGUCCCCUUUUAAUGCUAUCUAACCUUGUUGCCAUCACUGCUGAGAAUUACACAUGAUAUGCAUUGUGUGUAUAAGUACUUUGUGUCUGUCUUAAACUGUCAUAUUAUGGGAGACACUUUGUUUUUUCUGUUUCCUCGCCUAGUAUAAUUUGAGAAAACCUUUCUUAUGUGCCCUCUUAGUUCUGCUAGGUAUUUAGCCUCUUGGGUAUGUUUAGCCUGAAGAAGAGGAGACUGAGAGAAGAUAUGAUAGCCAUCUUCAAAUACCAAAAGGGCUGUCAAAUGAAAGAUGGAGCAAGUUUGUUUCUGUGUGUUUUGGAGGGUAGGACUUGAACUAAUGGCUUCAAGGUACAAGAAAGGAGAUUCCAACUGAACAUCGGGAAGAACCUUUGGAUGGUAAGAGCUGUUCAGCAGUGGAAUGGACUCCCAUGAGAGGUGAUGAACUCUCCUUCCUUGGAGAUUUUUAAGCGGAGGUUGGAUACUCAUCAGGCAUGGAUGCUUUAGUUGAGAUUCCUGCAUGGCAGGGGUUGGACUCCCUCUCAACUCUACAAUUCUAUGAUGCUUUAAUCUUCCGCUUUCACCUUUAUUCAUAGAGAAGAUUCUCCAAGCCUUUGCUAUUGAAGUUGGUCGCUUCUGUUGUAUUUGUGUGGGUUCGCCAGAACUUUGAACAGCAUUCCAAACACAGUUGCAUCAUAAAAGGUGGUAAUGGUAAUAAUUGUGGGGUGGAUUAAUUAAAAGAUUCCAGUUUUAUUCACAGUAAGCCUGCAGUCUUUCACAUACUUGGGGCCAAGUCCCAUUAAAUACAUUGGGAUUUAUUUCCAAGAAAUUAGUACAGUAAUCUGAUUUGGCUGUACAGUUGCAAUCCUACACAGUGAUUUUAGUGGAGCAUACUGCCAAAUUAGCCAGCCAGUUAAGGUUGUCCCUGAAUUUUGCUUUUGUUUACUGCUGCCAUUUUAACUUUAUGCCAGGUACUAAACCAUAUAUCAUUUCAUUGUUUGGCUUUACCCAGAAACCUUUGAAUAGUGUGCCAGCAUCUGCUGCUUUUUCCCAUAUGGAGAAAAGAAUAUGCCUUUCAAUGUAGUAGAAAAUCAAAAUCUUACACAGUCAAUGUUUAAUAUUUUCUCAAUGGUAUCGUUAUAUAAGCUUCUUCCUGCAAUAGCUUCUAGAGAAGUACUGUUUUAGACUUUGUAUAAGAUGUGAUCGACACUUCUACUUUAAAUUCUUUCUCUAGCUCUUAUCAUUUGAAAUCUUUUGUUUUUUGACACCUGUCUUCAGAUGUAGGCCUGAUGGAUCUCAAUUUUCCCACCCCCCUUUAGCCUUUAAACAUGUGGGUUAAUUUAAUCCUGAUGAAAGUUGGAGCCUGAGAGCACAUUUUGUGAAUGAGACAUAUUAACAGCAGGUUUUCAACAGAUUUCCUCAAGCGUGUCUAUCCAUACAGUCAAGUUUUGAUCCGAGUCACCUCAGCUUGUCUGGUCCUGUGUUUCACUUGGGCAGAUGCUACUGGUUGUAAUUAAUCAGCUUGUAGUGAAACAGAAGCUAGGAUUUGACUGAUAAUGUAUGAUUUGUAAAUAUCUAAGACCUAGACCCCUCAAAUGCUUAUUAGAUCAUAAUUUUUAUUUUUGCUAAACUGUCAAAUGCUCCUCAUAGAUAUAGCUAGUUAUCCUUAUUCAAAUGCUGCCUGCAUGCACGCAAGUCGUUUGUUUGUUUUGCAAUGUUUACAGACUGCUUUCCAAACAACGUUUCCUAAAGCAGUUUGCAAAAAUGUGCACAGAUAACAAUGACUAUUCCGUAUGUACUUCUGUCUAACUAUUAUUGGGACUAUGGGGGCUACAUUCAAAUACUAUGAGUACUCUGUGAACAUGUAGGACAAAGUAGUAAGGUAAGGAGGUAAGGACAAUGGCUCAUUAUUUUUGUUGCAUGCUUAUGGAGAGUGCACACCACAUAAACGAGAACAAGAGGACCAUUUCUCUCAGGUGAUCUCAGUAGUAGUAAUGUAUUGAGUUUCCUUUCCAUCUCAACUAUUUUAGUGAACAAUCAAGUUCUAUUCUUAUUUUAAGGAGCAAUAUUAUAUAGCACUUUUGCCACAGUGCAUUUAACUGUGUUUAGAUUUGUGUUACACAGGAGGCUGGGGAAAUAAAAAUGAGUGAUAGCUGCCAAUGCCAGUCCCUGGCUAACCGGACAUAAAACCCCAUAGCUUAUCAGCUAUGAAUAUAGCAAUAGUGGCUUUAAGUAGCAUAACACCUGCUUUAAAAUAUUUUCUUGUCUCUCCCCUUUCCUGCCCUCCCCCCAGGUUGGAAAAAUGGUUGUUCAAUGCUUCAGGAGAAACUUUAGUAAACCUCUUUAGGAAGGUAAUUCUAUGGUUCUUCUGCAGGCACUCUUUCUGGUUCAAACAGGAACAGCUUGGAUGUAUAGUCAACUCAAGCAAUCAUAGUGCAACAACAUGAUAGGAACAUCAAUAUGAUCUAGGAAAUUUGCCUCAGGGUCAUCUGGUGCGACACUAGUCUUGCGUUGAUAGGAGUUUGGGGAUAGAGAUUUUGGACCACUGAUUGCACAGCAAAACUUACUGUGUUGGUCUUGCCUGCGGUUCAUAGAUAGUGAAGUUUAUGCACAGCAAGGACCAGGCAUUCUUAAUAUAGCCUGUAACCAGUCAACAGUAGUGGCCCCAUGUAAGGCACAUUAUGGUAGUCUUCAAGUUUAGGAAAGCAAGACUAGCAGUCUCUGUAUAUGAAAUGCUGCAGACUUUUUGUCUGAUGGAGUUUGCGGAAAGUGCUCCUGGCUUGGUCUUACCCUACCAUGAGGCAGAGUGAGGCAGCUGCCUUGGAUGGCAAAUGUUUAGGAGUGGGGAGUUGAUAGAGCUUUGUGUGCCAUGUGGCCUAACCUAUGCCCUCUAAGAGAGCUUGCUUAUUUCAGUUGCAAUGGAGGGCAGUCUGGUUGGCUUUUGUACAUGGAAUGGAGGGAGGUGCCAUUUUGUUGACCUCAGACACCAAGAUGUCUCUCAGCCCCCACCCACCCCACAUUUCUGGCCACUGCCAUCACCAUUUUAGCUCCAUCUUGAACCACUCCAAAGUCAAAAUCAGAGGAUAGUAUUAAAGCCUCUAUUUUUGUACCUGUCCAUUUCUUCCCUUUUGUCUCCUUUCCCUUAUUACCUUACUGACGCUAAUUGCCUCAGUCUUGUCUGGGUUUUGCUUCAGGCUGCUUGCCAAUAUCAACUUCUGUACUAUAGCCAGGCAGAUAUAAUUAAACCAUGUUGAAGAACUGGACCAACAAAAGUUUAAUUGUACAAAGUUUGUGACAAAGAACAUCUUGGAUACACUACCCAUUUUUUUCUAGAUCUUGUACAGUUUUACAUUGAAUCUGCUGCCUAUGAUUUGAAUUUUUUUUUUAAAAAAAGUUUUAAUUUCACAAACUUUGCAAUAAACAACAUGCUGGAUGUAUUGCAAGACACCAUUCUGAUUUCCUCGAUCCUCUAUGUGUUUACAAGAUUGAAUUAGCUGUUGUGGUUGCUGCUUUGACCUCACACAUGUUGUUUCUGAUUUCUGGCAGUAGACAUGGCACUUUAUCUCUCUCUCAACAGUGGGUGGGACAAGCAGCUCAGCGGGCAAGCAUCUCACCAAGUCCUAGAGUUCAUCAUUCCCGCCUUCAUUCAGACACAUCCAUGAAUCUGUCUCUUACCUCUGACACCAAGAUUUCCUUUGUUUUUGAACAGUGGGCUCUCAUCAAACCAAUAGCCAAGCAUCAAAAAAGAAGUUUCUCCUUCGCUGCUGCUAGCACAUCUUACGCCCAAUUUUUCUUUUCUUUUUCCAGUGUUCUUACAACCUCAUGCAGUAUUCAAAACAGC